ensembl:processed_transcript uncharacterized LOC110317502
GUGAAGACCACAGUUUCCUGUCGCGUGGUUGUGUUUCCUCUCCGGCCAGUGCCAUCCGCCCAAAUCUACAGACAUCCCGCGUGUUCCCGGGCUGUCCGCUCGUCUCCCCUAUACAGGGCGCCAAGGCUGUAGACUGCGCAGCCCUUCUAGAGACAGACGGAAGCUCCGUGGGUUGACAGAUUACACCUUCUGGAGCCCCCUGUUCCCUUCAACUCCGUGAUGGGCAUCCACUGUCCAGGGAGAGGAUGCCUGGAAAUGACAGCCGGGGUCUACAGUGGCCAUAAGAGUUGUCCCCAUCUUGCUAGAUCGACAGACUGGUGCCCCCGAAUGAGGACUGUGCCCUGGGACAGGGGAUAUGGUAUAGUUGGAAGUUUGUGAAGGUAAGGUGAGGCUGGGUUCUUUGAGAUGUGCCUGUUUCUUGCUGUACCCACUUGGGAUCUGUGUCUUGUGUGUCCUGUGUUCCCGCUGUCCCCUCUGUGCCCCUCUGCUUUACUCUGGUGGGUGGAGAGCAGAAUGGAAAGGAGCCAGAAGGGUUUGAGGGGUCAUAUGCACCAUCCAGAUCUCAGUCGCUGCUCUCUGCUGGCUUCCGGGCCUUGUCUGGUUCUCGAUUUCCUCAUCUGAAAAAUGGGACUGCCUCUGUGAGUCCUGUCACCUCACUUCUGCCAGCUGGGCAGGUUGCGUUGAUCUAAGACAGCAAGUGCUGAGUCUACUGUAGGCCUAGUGGCCAUUGCUCAUUAGAAUUGUCACUUCCUCCUGGCCAGUCUUCCGAGCUCUCCUUAAGGAACAGUUGUUGCUCAGUUAGGAGCAGCCUCAUUCCUCUGUUGGCUAUCUGGCUGUUGCCUGUCCGUCUCUUUCCAGUUUAACCAUUACCCAGCUCUUGGCCAUAGUCUUCCCUCUCCUUGCCCUCUGCCCUCUGCCCCUGUAUUCGAAAGUGAUUGUGGGCUGCCCCGUGCCCUGGUCAUUGAUACUGCAGGGAGAGGAUUCGGAAAGCCUUUCCCCGUGUUUGGAGGAUCCACACUUGUCCUUGCCAAACCCUGGUGCUUUCCCACAUUGCCCGCUGCCUGUCAUUCUGGCACUUCUGUGAAGCAGUGGUGGGGAGCUCGGAUGCUGGCUGCUUCCUUCAGAUCCUUUCUCAGCCUCUACAUCACAGUUGUCACCUCUUCAGGACACUUGAGAACUUGUAGAAAAUGUCCCGUUGCUUGACUUACUAGCGUGCAUCUUGCUGUGUUCUGUUAGACAAGAGUCAGGGUUCUGACUGAACAGAUGAACCACCAAGGGACAGUCACUUUGUGUAAGGCAUUGUCACAUAUAAACUGGGUAAGCAGCCUGACAGGGAGGCCCAGGAGGGAGCAGAUUUGCCGUUCUGCCUCCUUGAAUUCUUCCCUCGUGGCUUUUGACCCCUGCCUUAAGUAGCCGCUUGGGAAGGGUUUUCUCUCCGCCCUGUGACAACAGGCAAGAGUGGGGGCCCAACAAUACAGAGUAAGUGAUGUGUCACUUCUACUCUUCCAUGCCCAGUGCCAGGAGAGACGGUACACUCGAGUGCUGUGCCCUGGUGGGCCUUUGAACAGCCAGUGGCAGGUGCAGUGGAUCAUCAGCCCUGUCUCCCAAGAGCCUCGCCAGUCCCUUCUCCGGAGAGCAAGUGGCUCCACUGGCUGCUCCGGAGGCCAUAGCAGGAUUGUCACCUGUACUCAACAGUCCUCCUCGACUUUCCAGAAGAGGCUGGAACAGGGCCCUUGAAGAUGUUUGUGGACACCAGAGUGCCAAAGACCACGCUCAAAGUGAAACUGGAGACACCGCCCCCUCGGCAUCAUGAAACAGCUUUUUACUGUGCUUGGUCACUGGCUCAUACAUGGGAGAUUCCAGCAUACAAAGUCUUGACACCAACACCUCGGAGGGCUGUGUUCUGUCCCCAUGACCAUCUGCCAGUGCCUGGAAUGACUAAUGCCAAGAACUUGGUGCCAACUUCCUGUUACCUCCCUAACAGCUGUGCAAUAAAUCUCAUAGAUUAAUUCAGUCUGCCUUUUAAA